ACUAAGUUUCAACAGCGGAUCUCUUGGCUCUCGCAUCGAUGAAGAACGCAGCGAAAUGCGAUAAGUAAUGUGAAUUGCAGAAUUCAGUGAAUCAUCGAAUCUUUGAACGCACCUUGCGCUCCUUGGUAUUCCUUGGAGCAUGCCUGUUUGAGUAUCAUGAAAU
rnacentral:rRNA from 1 species